GUGAGUUAUGAAGUUUGAGCUGCUUGUGAUGAUCCACGAUGUUUCUAUACAGUGUCUGCUUCAUUCUUCUCUUUUCAGGUGAUGCAUGUGGAGAAGGAAUAGCUCCUCUCUCCUCGUCUGAACUUGUUACCGAUGGUGACUCCAUUACUUUGGUCUGCAAUUACAAUGGGACUUCCAAUAGUGAUUCUCUCCUGUGGUAUCGUCAAUUCAGCAGCUCCAAACCAGAGUUUUUGUUUCUGGUUAGUGAAGCCAAAUUCGAGCAGCCAGCUGACCCUCAAAUACCUGGAGUGUUUGCUAAAUUAAAUGAGGAGAGAAACCGUGUGGUUCUGGAGAUCUCCUCUGCUUCAGUAUCAGACUCUGCUCUGUACUACUGUGCCCUGCAGCCCACACUGACAGGAAAACACAAAACACUGUACGAAAUUAAGGGGAGAACAACUAAACGAACAAUCUGAUGAACUACACUAAAUAGUAGAUUAAACCUCUAUAUGACUGUGUCUUUAUUGCAUGAUGAUCAGGCAGA